rnacentral:rRNA from 1 species
UACGUAGGGUGCGAGCGUUGUCCGGAUUUAUUGGGCGUAAAGGGUGCGUAGGCGGCCGUGCAAGUCUGGCGUGAAAGCCCCGGGCUCAGCCCGGGAAGUGCGCUCGAAACUGCGCGGCUCGAGUGCCGGAGGGGAGAGUGGAAUUCCUGGUGUAGCGGUGAAAUGCGUAGAUAUCAGGAGGAAUACCGGUGGCGAAAGCGACUCUCUGGACGGCAACUGACGCUGAGGCACGAAAGCGUGGGGAGCAAACAGG